GGGCCGGUCGUCUAGUGGCUCCCAAAGUGGAUUCAAUCCUCGAGCAUGGUUAGGACGUCGCUCUGACACGGCGAAGGUCGGCGGUUCAACUCCGCCCCGGCCCACCA
rnacentral:tRNA from 1 species